GGCAAUUAAUGACGUGAUUAGCAUUCAGCAGGCCAACCCUUUUUUAUAUAGCGCUAAUAUGAUCUGAGACCCAACUGUUUUGCAUUUAGCCCCCCAAAUCAAAGGCUUAAUCGCUAAUUAGCCCUUAAUCACCGCUUAAUCUCGUAAAUAAUCACCGUUGUAUAUUAAAUUAAAGACUAACUUUUUGUCAUCAAUCACAUUAUGUCUAACACUGGAUACAAGGGCGCUGAAGCUGCUUUAAUUGCCAUUGAGACGCCCUCGUUGUUUGGGCAUCAUUUAAUCUGAUAAUCGGUGUGUGUUCAAUUCUUGAACACGGCGUCCUUUCAUGCCUAUGGGAGCUGAGCAGUUUCCAUAAGCUACCUAUUUUGUUCCUUGCGAUGAGUGAAAGGCAAAUAAAUUAACAUUCUGCCAUUUCAAAUUUGCAAUUGUGGUUAAGCUAUUGAGAUCAACUACUUUUGAAGAUGCUACUCUUUUUAAGGACAAUUUCAUCAAUAAAUAAAGAACUUUAUAUUGUGUCUA